rnacentral:rRNA from 1 species
UACAGAGGUCUCAAGCGUUUGUUCGGAUUCAUUGGGCGUAAAGGGCGCGUAGGCUGCGGGGCAAGUCGGGUGUGAAAUCUCAGAGCUCAACUCUGAAACUGCACUCGAUACUGCUUUGCUUGAGGACUGGAGAGGAGAUUGGAAAUUCACGGUGUAGCAGUGAAAUGCGUAGAUAUCGUGAGGAAGACCAGUGGCGAAGGCGGAUCUCUGGACAGUUCCUGACGCUGGAGGCGCGAAGGCCAGGGGAGCAAACGGG